rnacentral:rRNA from 1 species
CACGUAGGGUGCGAGCGUUGUCCGGAAUUAUUGGGCGUAAAGAGCUCGUAGGCGGUGUGUCGCGUCGGCCGUGAAAACCUGCAGCUUAACUGUGGGCUUGCGGUCGAUACGGGCAUCACUGGAGUUCGGCAGGGGAGACUGGAAUUCCUGGUGUAGCGGUGAAAUGCGCAGAUAUCAGGAGGAACACCGAUGGCGAAGGCAGGUCUCUGGGCCACUACUGACGCUGGAGAAGCGGAAAGCAUGGGGAGCGAACAGG